GACGAACGCUGGCGGCGUGCUUAACACAUGCAAGUCGAACGGAAAGGCCCUGCUUUUGUGGGGUGCUCGAGUGGCGAACGGGUGAGUAACACGUGAGUAACCUGCCCUUGACUUUGGGAUAACUUCAGGAAACUGGGGCUAAUACCGGAUAGGAGCUCCUGCUGCAUGGUGGGGGUUGGAAAGUUUCGGCGGUUGGGGAUGGACUCGCGGCUUAUCAGCUUGUUGGUGGGGUAGUGGCUUACCAAGGCUUUGACGGGUAGCCGGCCUGAGAGGGUGACCGGCAAAAAUGGGACUGAGAUACGGCCCAGACUCCUACGGGAGGCAGCAGUGGGGAAUAUUGCACAAUGGGCGGAAGCCUGAUGCAGCAACGCCGCGUGCGGGAUGACGGCCUUCGGGUUGUAAACCGCUUUCGCCUGUGACGAAGCGUGAGUGACGGUAAUGGGUAAAGAAGCACCGGCUAACUACGUG
rnacentral:rRNA from 1 species